GUCUUUCUAAUAUUAAGCAGUAUAAGUGACUUCCAAUCACCCGGUCUUGGUUAAAGUCCAAGGAAAGAUA
rnacentral:tRNA from 1 species